UGGUAGUCCACGCCGUAAACGAUGUCUACUAGUCGGUGGGUGGCCUUGAGGACUGGCUGUCGGAGCUAACGCAAUAAGUAGACCGCCUGGGGAGUACGGUCGCAAGGUUAAAACUCAAAUGAAUUGACGGGGGCCCGCACAAACGGUGGAGCAUGUGGUUUAAUUCGAUGCAACGCGAAGAACCUUACCUGGUCUUGACAUAUCAGAGAAUCCUGCUAGAGAUGAGGGUAGUGCCUUCGGGAACUAGAAUACAGGUGCUGCAUGGCUGUCGUCAGCUCGUGUCGUGAAAUGUUGGGUUAAGUCCCGCAACGAGCGCAACCCUUGUCCUUAGUUGCCAGCGGGUAAAGCCGGGAACUCCAAGGAUACUGCCAGUGACAAACUGGAGGAAGGUGGGGACGACGUCAAGUCAUCAUGGCCCUUACGAGCAGGGCUACACACGUGCUACAAUGG
rnacentral:rRNA from 1 species